AUUGAGCGCUGGCGGCAUGCCUUACACAUGCAAGUCGAACGGUAACAGGUCUUCGGAUGCUGACGAGUGGCGAACGGGUGAGUAAUGCAUCGGAACGUGCCCAGUUGUGGGGGAUAACUGCUCGAAAGAGCAGCUAAUACCGCAUACGACCUGAGGGUGAAAGCGGGGGAUCGCAAGACCUCGCGCAAUUGGAGCGGCCGAUGUCAGAUUAGGUAGUUGGUGGGGUAAAGGCCUACCAAGCCGACGAUCUGUAGUUGGUCUGAGAGGACGACCAGCCACACUGGGACUGAGACACGGCCCAGACUCCUACGGGAGGCAGCAGUGGGGAAUUUUGGACAAUGGGCGCAAGCCUGAUCCAGCAAUGCCGCGUGCAGGAAGAAGGCCUUCGGGUUGUAAACUGCUUUUGUCAGGGAAGAAAUCCUCUGGGUUAAUACCCCGGGGGGAUGACGGUACCUGAAGAAUAAGCACCGGCUAACUACGUGCCAGCAGCCGCAGUAAGAC
rnacentral:rRNA from 1 species